CUGAUCCUCAGAUGACGAUGCCAUAUGAUGGUUCUCACAGGGUCAGCGCGGGAAGUAGAAGAUUUCUGGGGAUAUGUGUUUCCAAGCCAGUGGUUCUCGGGAAGGAGUACGAACUCCGAUACAAAUACUGGCUCAUCUCUAUGCCACGGACUCUUGAGAACAGCAGCGCUUCAACACUUAGCGUUUUGUUGCCAGAAAUAAAUCAAAUGGACAAUGGUGCAAAAAUCAAAAUGUUCCUGGAACAACUGGAGGGACCAAGGAUUCAACACGAACUCUAGUCCUAAUAGUCUCAAGGGAUCAGGCUGAGUCCUCUGGAGGGAGCAGAAACAGAUACAAUGCAAGAGGCCACUUGUGUCCUUCACUAAUCAGAAGCUUUUGUAUUUUAAUGGCACUUCACAAAAUCCCCUGUGGAGAAAAGAAAGAGGCAGGCCCACCAAAAAAAGGAAAACCCCAAAGGCGAACAGACAAGGGCUGAAAACAAACUCAACCCUGAAUUAAGUUAUACCCUAUUGGUGAUAUGGAAGUGCUGGGUAGAGGAGGGCCUGGUCCCUUCCUAGGGCUCCACGCCCACAGACCUAGGUGAGGACAGGCAUUUCCUGCCCAACUGUUGCAUUUCCCAAGAUCACCCUGGCCUGCCACGCCCCCAUCCUGUGCCUAUAAAAAAAUGCCCAGGACCCUAGCAGGCAGACCAGAGGCAGCUGGUCGUCGAGAGGAAGGCACUGACUGGCACUGGCACACCUGCAGGUCACCAACUGGCAGAAGCAGAAUGAUACAAAUUUGGCUCCGAGGGUUGGAGGAGAGUCCAGGCCACUGAUCAGCCUGAUUCCAGGGGAAAACCAUCUCCCUUCUGGCUCCCCCAUCUUCUGAGAGCUACUCCCAUUCAGUAAAACCUUGCACUCGUUCUCCAA